AAGUCGUAACAAGGUUUCCGUAGGUGAACCUGCGGAAGGAUCAUUAUAAAAUAAAACAAAGCAAUCUUUGCUUUUAUAAAUCUCUAUUUUAUUAGAUUAGGUAUCUAGUUAAAAACUAUUUACCGAAAUAAUUUAAUAUACUAUUUUAGAGAUUUUAGGUUUACCCUAAUUAUCUCUAUAAACCAAAAAAUCAAUAAUCCUUUAAAUUACUAGUCUAAUCAUUUAGAUAAAUAAUUUAAAGUGGUAUAGAAAGUGAGGAGUACUAUUAGAUAUAAUAUUUUAUAUUGAUAUAGGAGACUCAUGCAAAACUUUAUAACCAGAAUUCAUUUUACAUUUAUUUAAUAAAAACAAAUAACUUUUAACAAUGGAUCUCUUGGCUAAU
rnacentral:misc_RNA from 1 species